GUCUCUUUACUCGAGCUUCCCAAGAAGUUAAAUAGAACUGUUCAUCAAACCCUCGGGAUGGAGGAAGGAGGUCUCGAGCUUCCCAAGAAGUUUAAGAUUGAAUUGUUCAUCAAACCAGUGGAAUGGAGGAAGAGAUCUCUAGCUUCCCAAGAAGUUUAAGAUAGAACUGUUCAUCAAACCCUUGGAAUGGAGGAAGAGGUCUCAAGCUUUCCAAAAAGUUUUAAAACCGUCGGAAUGCAAAAAGAGCUGCAGACAGACAAUCUGCAGACAUAAUGGUGUUCAGAAGAAGAAAUAAAU